rnacentral:ncRNA from 1 species
AAAAGUUUGAUUUUAGCUUUUAUAUUUAUUUUAUAAAUUUUUUUGCAUGUAAAUUUUUGUAUGAUUAUAAGUUAUUUUAAAAAAAUAAUUUAAAGAGGUUAAUAUUUGCAGCAUUUAAUUUUAAUAAUUAAGUAAUUUUAGAAUUAUAAUUUAUAUAAAUAUAGGCAAAAAAUGUGCCAGCAGCUGCGGUUACACAUUUUAUAUAAGUAAAUAAUAUUAAAUGUAAAUAGUUUUUUUAUAAAGUUAUAUAUUUAAUAGGUUAGAAAUUAAGUGAAAUUUUUUUUUAAUUAAAGUUAUAUUAUAGAUUAUAUUUUAAAUUAUGAAAUCUUAAUAAUAAACUAGGAUUAGAUACCCUAUUAUUUAAGAUUUAAAAAAAAAUUGAGGAUUAAUAGGUAUGUUCUUUAAACUUAAAAAAAUUGGCGGUAUUUAAAUCUAAUUAGGGGAACUUGUCUUUUAAUUGAUAAUCCUCAAGAAACCUUACUUUAGUUAAUUUAAUUUAUUUAUUGCCGUUAUCAGAUUAUUUUAUAAGAAGAAAAAUUUUCUUAAGUUUUUAUAGAAAAAUAUUUCAGGUCAUUAUAUAGUUUAUAUUGAAGUUAAGAUGAGUUACAAUAGUAUUUAAUUAAAUGAAUAUUUAUUUGAAAUAGUAAAUUAAAAGUGGACUUAAUAGUAAAAUAAAAUAUUAAAUUUAUUUGAAUUUAGAAUUAAAUAUGUACAUAUCCCCCGUCACUCUCGUUUUAAGAUGAGAUAAGUCGUAACAAAGUAGAUUUACUGGAAAGUGUAUCUAGAAUGUUUUUAUU